GUGGGGAAUAUUGGACAAUGGGCGAAAGCCUGAUCCAGCCAUGCCGCGUGUGUGAAGAAGGUCUUCGGAUUGUAAAGCACUUUAAGUUGGGAGGAAGGGCAGUAAGUUAAUACCUUGCUGUUUUGACGUUACCGACAGAAUAAGCACCGGCUAACUCUGUGCCAGCAGCCGCGGUAAUACAGAGGGUGCAAGCGUUAAUCGGCAUUACUGGGCGUAAAGCGCGCGUAGGUGGUUCGUUAAGUUGGAUGUGAAAGCCCCGGGCUCAACCUGGGAACUGCAACCAAAACUGGCGAGCUAGAGUACGGUAGAGGGUGGUGGAAUUUCCUGUGUAGCGGUGAAAUGCGUAGAUAUAGGAAGGAACACCAGUGGCGAAGGCGACCACCUGGACUGAUACUGACACUGAGGUGCGAAAGCGUGGGGAGCAAACAGGAUUAGAAACCCGGGUAGUCC
rnacentral:rRNA from 1 species